GACGAACGCUGGCGGCGCGCCUAACACAUGCAAGUCGAACGAGCGAGAGAGAGCUUGCUUUCUCGAGCGAGUGGCGAACGGGUGAGUAACGCGUGAGGAACCUGCCUCAAAGAGGGGGACAACAGUUGGAAACGACUGCUAAUACCGCAUAAGACCACGGUGCCGCAUGGCACAGAUGGAAAAGGAGCGAUCUGCUUUGAGAUGUCCGCGCGUCCGAUUAGCUAGUUGGUGUGGUAAUGGUCCAGCAAUGCGACGGCAGGUAGCCGGAAUGAGAGGUUGAACGGACACAUUGGGAGUGGGACACAGCCCAGACUCCUACGGGAGGCAGCAGUGGGUAAUAUUGCACAAUGGGGGAAACCCUGAUGCAGCGACGCCGCGUAGAGGAAGAAGGUCUUCGGAUUGUAAACUCCUGUUGUUGGGGAAGAUAAUGACGGUACCCAACAAGGAAGUGACGGCUAACUACGUA
rnacentral:rRNA from 1 species